CCAGGCCCCUCACCUUUCCAAAAACAUGGCCUUACCUCGUCGAAUAAAAAAUAAAAAGGUGGCCGGUUCAACAGAGUCUCCACUCUAUGCUCUGGAAAAAAAACCGCAUUAUUGAAGCAAUCUCCCUGAAUGUGAGAGAGUUCAUUUGCGGUACAAGUGGGAAUCAUUUGUUAUCCUAUCCUAUCCAUCCCGUACCCCACCACUUUUAUUAUCAUUAUUGCAUGUUCUGAACGUGCUCCUACCAUAAUAACAUACGAAUUUCCCAUUCAUAUAAUUCAUCUUUAUGAAGGGUGAUACUGGAUUUAGGUGAAAAGCAAGUCGGUGCCUCAUUGGAUGAACAUGCGGAACGAUAUUAAUAAAUACGAAACGUGAGGGGUGUUAAAUUUAAAAUACGAUGGAGAUGAGUGGGGUAGGUGUGUGAUUUAUGGAAGAGGAGAUGAUGUCAUGAUGGUAGAAAGAUGCUGCUGCCGCUGUGGGAAGGUAGCCUAUGAGGAGACUAGACAGUGAAUGGUCUCCGUGGAUGUUGCAGCCAACGCCACAUGCCUCGCUUUUCCAUGGAAUCGUGGGUGGCCACUGGCCUCUCCAGAGGAGAUGAUUAGACCUUGCGGUACGAUGUUGAAGCCCAAAAGCCCGAACCCACCUAUCUCUCGUCAUCCCCUCCAUCGAAGCACUGGGGAGGCGACGCCACAUCAGCAAAUACGACAAAAAUAAAUAAAUAGGAUUAAUUUCAUCGAGCUUCAAGGGUUUCAUUAAAUACAUUUAAUUCUUAUUAAUUUAAAAUUUAAGUUGGUGUUUGUUUUUUUGGCUUUUUGUUGAAAAUCAUUUAGUUUUAGAAUUUAGGUUGUUUGUUUUUUUAUUUUUUCAUUACUUAUUAUAAACUUUUUACUAAAUAAAAAAAGUCAAAAUAUAUGACUUUUUCUAAAUAGAAAAAUAACACAAUGAUUUUUUUUAUUUUUUAAUAAAUAAAAUACUACAAAAACAAACAACAUAAUAUUUAAUACUAUUAGGGGGUGUUUGGUACGUCGGAAUAGGAAAUGAAAAUAAUAUUUUGUUUCCUUUCCUAUUUCUUAGUGGAAUGGAAUGAAUUUGAUAAUUUCAUUUCUAACAUUUGGAUGAACUUAGGAAUGAUUAUUUGUUUCCAUUCCAAUGUUUGAUAAUAAUAGGAAUGGAAAUGAAAAAGAAAUAAAUUUACAAUAAUAUCCUUACAUAUAAUUUAAAAUAUUUUUUUAUUUUUACUUUUAUUUUUAAAAAAUAAAAUUUGAGAGGUUUUUUGUUAUUAAAUAAUAAGACUAAAAAAUAUAUAUAUACUCAAUAAAUAAAAAAUUAACCAUAAAAAAUCGUAUAACCCUAAUGCACAAAUAUUCAAUUAUUAUUUUUAUUAAAAAUUUGAAUAAUUUGUCAUGCUUAAGUAGUUAUAAAAUUAUAUUUUUCAAAAAAAAAAAAAUAUUUAUUAUAAUAUUUAAAUUCUCAAAGCUAGUAAAUGUUUUUCCUAUUUUCAAAAAAGGAAAUAAAAGAAUUCAAAUUUAUUAUAAUUUUCAACAAGUAUCAUAUCCGAUAAAAUCCAUAACCUUAAAAAAAUUUAAAUAUUCGUUUUUUUUUAUCAAAAUUUUAAAUAAUUUGUCAUGCAAAAAAAGCUAUAGAAUUCUAUUUUAUUAAGAAAAAAAAAAAAGAGAAAAAAAAAUAUAAGAACAUAUAAAUUGUCAAAGCUACCAAAUACUUAUUUCUUAUUUGCAAAAAAGGAAAUAAAAAAACACAAACUUCAUUCUAGUUCUCAAUAUAAGUACCAUAUCUACUAAAAUCUACAACUAGUAUAUCCUCCAAAAUUAAGCCAUCAAAUCAAUAAAAAAGUUCAUAGGAAAUUGAUGAAACAAAAUCCAACCUAAAAUUUCUAUCAAUCUAACCUAAAGACAAUAAAUUAACAAGGAUGCAAUAUGGAGAUCGAAAAAUCUUCAAUAUUUUUAAGUACCAUAUCUUUCUAAGUACCAUAUCUUUUUAUUUUUUUCCUAACCAUUAAAAAUUUUCAAUAUUGUAAACACGUGAAAUCGAAAAAUCUUUUUCCAACCAUUUCAAUUUUUCUCUUCAGUUUCCAUUAAUACAAGAUAAAGAAACAUCAAAGAUUCCAAACAUAAAUUAAUAAAAAAAAAUUAAUCGAUUUAUAGAGAAGAAGAAACACAUAUAAAGAAGCGAAGAAGAAAGAGAAAAUAAGGUAAACCUGAUCGAAGAUGUACAAGGGAGUUUUCAGAACCUAGUUGCAGCAAACAAUGACGAAUCCUAGAUCCAACAAUCAAAAUGAACAUCCAAAACCCUAUAAAUUAGAAAUUGAUUUUUUUUUUUAAAUAUCGUGGAAGGUUUAAUUGAUUCAAUUUGGAAGAAUCACUUGUUACAGAGAAUUGGAUGAUGAGUGGGUCUCUAACUUUCCAAAUAAGAUAAGAAGUGGAUGAUGAAUGGAUCUCUACCUUUACAAAGAAGAUAAACAUCGAGUUUGAAGAACAAGAUAAAAGGGUAAAAUAGUAAUUUAGGUUAUUUUAUAUUAUCAAAUAAGUUUAAUGAAUCAGAAUACCACCUACUUUUAAUGAAUGCAAAUCCGACUCAUAAGUUGGAUUUGAUUUAUGUCGGAAUAAUUUUUUAUUUCAUUUCCGCCUUCUUAACAUUUAUCCAAACAUAAGAAUAAAGGAGAAAAGGAAUGAGAUGUCUAUUCCCACUCCCUAUUCCCGUGUACCAAACACCCCCUUAAGUAUUAAGAUUCUAUUUAGAAUUAAGUAAAAAAACAAACACCACCUUUAAUUUUAGUUUUUAGUCUUCUUCUCAUUUAAGCUUAAAAUAACUAAAAUAUAUUUAACACAAAUCUUAAAAGUAGAGUGAAAUAAACUAUAAAUAAAUGCACAGUGAUGGAUUUUUUAUUUAUUUUUUGGUGUUUUUGAAAAUAAGAAAUAUAAAUGGUUUUAUAUUUUAAAAAUAUUGUCAAAUACAUAUUUAAAUUAAUUUUUAAUAUAAAAAUUCUAAUGAUUUCCCCAAAAUGGGCACUUGACCACCUAUACUCAAUAGCUACAUAAUCAUUCGUAAAAAAAAAAAAAAAAAAAAAAAAUUUGAAGUAUUAUUUAAAGAAUAAAGACUUUAUUAUAUGCUUCAACCAUCCGAAUCGCAUAGUGGAUAUGUAGCCCAAACAUUUUCAUAAUUGAUAUGAUAAUGUUCUCAAAUAUCCAUCUUUCCCUCAAAUUGACGAGUGCUAACGUCUCGCUUGACGUCACCAACAAAGAAGCUAGGAAAAGAUUCUAAGAUAUAGUGGCCUUUAUGAUUUCAAGCAGCGAACAACCUAUCCUCCAUGAGAACAACAUACAGACGAGGAUUUCAUAAUCUGUACCUACAGUUAACAAUAGCCGUCCGAUUCACCGCGAACUCUGAGAAAAAUAAAAUGUCACUGCUUUCGAUUUCCCUCAAAUAGCAAUACGGACUGAGAAAUGUGGGGUUCUGUUGCACUCACACGUUGAAAUAAUGUAGUUCUUCCCGUGUGAGGUGAAUAACGUCACAUCAAUAUUUACCUAUCCCAUUAGAAAAUAAAAAAUUAAAAUUAUUUUUUAUUUUUUAUUUUAAAUAUUAAGUAUUUAAUAAAAUUAACUUAAAAUUUAUAUUAAGCUAUCCUGUUAACCCUCAUUAAUUAUAAUUAAUAUUUAUUUUUAUCUAUUUUAAAUAAUAAAUUUGUUUAUUAAAUAUUUAUACUUAAAGUAUUAUAAUAUAUAAGAUGAUUUUAAAAUAUUUAUUAUAAAAAAUGAGUUAUGACGUAGAGUUGUAGUUAUUAAAUAUUAAUAAAUGAAGUUAAAAAAAAUUGAAAUUAAAAAUAAGUUAUUAAUUUAGUGGGUGUUUGGUAAAUCACUUAAAGUGAUUUAAUAACUUAAUUUAAAUUAUUAAAUAAAUUAAUUAUAUUUAAUAAAAUGAUUUAAUGAUAUAAUUUAAAAUAAAAAUAUUUUUUAAGUAAUAAAUAAAAAUAAUUAAUUUAUUAUUAAAUUUAUAUUUAUAUUUUACUUUUUUUUUAUUUUUAUUUGUCAUAAUUACCUUUACAAUAUUUUUUACUAUUUCAUGACUUUUAUUAUUAUUUUACCGUAUUUACUUUAAUUAUAAUUUAUGAUUUUAAAUUACAAUUUAAGUAUAACUUCAAUUAAAUUCACUCUAAGUCAUUAAGUAAUAAAUAUUAAAUUUUUUUUAACACCUCUAAUACUCAACAUUAUUUUUAACUUAAAGUUGUGAUAUUGAGAUAUUUUAUUACUAUCCUUCUUUUAUAUUUUUAAAAUAAAAAUAUUAAGAACAACAUUUAUAUAAGAUAUUAAAAUUACUAAAGAUAUAUAUUGAAAGAAAAUAUUGAUUUUAAAAAAAUAGUUAAAAUUUUAAAAAAUACAAAGAUGGUGAAUUUAGUUGAAUUUUUUUUUUAAAAAAAAAAAAAACAUUUUUCGGUGAUGAUAAAACAAACAAAACCUCAACAGGCUCACAUUUGACUUACCCGUAACUCAUAUUAUUAACAAUAUGCCAAAGACAAAACCAAAGAGAGGUAGAUCUUUUUAGUUGUAUAUAUAUUUUUUAUAACCUAAACUCAAACAGCUGAUAUAAACAAACCUGGGAAAGUGGCAUGUGAUUAUUAUUAGUAAGAACUAAGAAGCGAUAAUAUUUUUCUUUUUCUUGGAAAAUGUAAAUAAAAUGGAAAAGAGGCUUAACCCAUCACCCACAGGGCCACAGUGGUCCCGUGGAAAAAUGAUUCCUAGUGGAAGAUUACCAUAUGGCUGGGUUGAUGACAGCCGUAAGACAGGCCCCUCCUAUACCCAAUUUGAAAAUAUAGACAACAGAUUAUGACCUGAGAGAUGCUCCCCGUUUCUGAAAAAAUCUAUUCAAGCACAGGCCAUUUUUCUGUUCGGAUCAAUGGAACAAUGGAUUCCGUAUGACGCUGAAAAGAAUGGCUGGCCUCCAUACCAUUGUCGUUUCUGUCAAAUGAUAUAGGAAGUAUUUUUAUUUAAUUAAAAUUUAAAAAUAUGAAAAAUAUUUUUAUUUUCAAUAAGAUUAUUUUGAUAUUUAUAUUGUGAAAGUAUCAUACUUGUUCUUAUCUUUAAUAAAAACUGCUUUUUUUAAUAUAUAUAAUUUUGAAUUCCAUAUGGCAAUAGACUCAAAACGUUAAUGUUACAUGUAGGCCUAUAGAUUACUUCAAGUAAAAAAUAUUAUUGUAAUAAUUGUAUAGGUUGCAAUUUGGAUGGGACGGAAAGAUUGAUGGCUAACUCAAGCCCACAUUGAAUUUAAAAAUAAUAAAUUUAAAUUCAACAUAAUUUAACUUAUAAUAUGAGGUCCUAGAUCCAAUCUAACCUCAUUUUUCUAAACUUGGGUUAAUUUGAUGAGAUUUUAGUUAAUCAGGUUGAUUGCAUUAUUCAAAAUUCAUCUAUAGUGAUUAUAUAUAUAACUAUAUAUUUAUAUCAAAUUUUAAAUAAUACAUAAGACAAAAUUUUAAGAUAAUAAUAAAAAAGUAAAAAUAAACUUAUAUACUUUCCAAAAAAAAUGAUAUGAUUAUAAUUUGACAUUUUUCUUUAAAAAUAAAAAAAAUGAAUAUUAUUAUAUAUAAUAUAAAUAUUAUAAAAACAUUAAAUUAUAUUUGGGUUAGGCUUGAUUUGUUUAGACCUUAACCUAAGGGUAAUUCAAAUUGAAUUCAAGUUAAGAAAAUUUAACCCAAACUCAACCCAAAUAUUGAAAAUAUUUGCCCAAACAUGCCCAAGCAUGAAGUUAGGUUAGGUCAAACAAUCCAAGUUGCACCUCUAAUUUUUAAUUAAACCUUACCAUCAUCUUGUCUAAUCAUUUUAUUAAAAUUCAAUAAAUAUUUGAUUGAUUACCAUUAAAUAGAAUUGAAAUCAAGGUUAAAAGUGAAAAUUUUAAAGUUGUAAUCCCUUAAUUGAAAUUUAUAACUUAUAUAUAUAUAUAUAUAUUGAUAAAAUUAUUACUAAACAUUAAUACUUAUUUUUCUAAUCCUUAUAAAUCAUGAUGAAAACUAAAUAUCAUAAUGGGGUAGGUUUUUUGGGUACCACCCUGUAUAAAUGGGUUUGGGUGUGACAUUAUCCAGUCCCACCCUAAUUAUACGUAAUUAAAUAAAAAAUUUAUUUUAAUUGAUUUUUUCUAUUUCUUUAAAAUUUAAUAUAUAUAUAUAUAUAUAUAUAUAUAUAUAUAUAUAUAUAUGAUAUUAUUUUUUAUAAAAAUAAAUUAUAAAUAUGUAUAAUGUUUUUUUAGUUAUAAAUUAUGUUUAUUUUAAUUAGAAUUUAAUAUUUUAAAAGUAAAAUGUUUGAAAAAGUAAAAAACAAUAAACAUGACGGAUAGACACACGAGAAUUUCAUAUACUAGUCUUGUCUUACCUCACCUUGUUUAAUUUUUUAUUUUUUGUUUAUAGGAAUGAGAAUUUAUUUAAAUAAAUGGGAUCGUUGAGAUAGGAUUGACCCAUCCACCUUACCAUUCCUAUUCAAAUUUUAAUUUAUUUUAUAUUUUCUUUAUUUUAGUUUUCAUUCUUAUAUAUAUAUAUAUAUAUAUUGGUUUUUUUGAUUUUAUUUUAAGUGAUAGCAUCUUCUUAGCUCCAAUUUUUUUUUUUGUUACAUUAUUUUGUGAAAUUAUAACAAUGCACUUUAUGAAUACAGUAAUUCUAAACUUUGAAGGUCACUAUUACAAAUUACUAAUAUGAGAUGACAGACAUGCAUGUUUUAAUUUUUAUAAUUUCAAAUAAUAUGAAUUAAGAUAAAAAUUAACAAAAAAUGAUUAUAGAUUUUUUUUAAGAAAUGAGGGAAAAAUUAUAUUUUUAUUAAAGAAAAAAACAAGAUUAAACUAAUGAUUGAAAUAAGGAGUCGAAUGAAUAAAAUAUAGAAACACAUAUUUAGAAAAAGAAAAAAGAAAAAAAUUGGAUAAUCACAAAAUAAUAGAUUGUGUUAGGUGAGUAUGGCAAAAUUUGAUACAAUUCGUGAACACGAUAUGGACCCAAUAUGUUUUUCGUGGGUUUGGAUUAGGUAUAAAUUAGUUUUUUUUUUCAAAUAAAUAAAUUAAUUAAGUUAUGAAUAUGUUUGAUUGAGAUAUUAAUUAUAUAGAUAUAUAACGUGAUUAUUAAAUGGGAGGACUUAAUUAUUAAUGGGUUAAACAAUUUACAAGAGAUUAUUAUUUAUAUCAAGUUUGGAUUGAACUAUGCAAUAAAAUACUUAUGCUUUGAUACGAUAUGAACAUGACCCACCAACAUAAAUUGUCACCCAUCUCUAUUGAGUAACAAACCAAUAAUUUUUACCAUGUUAAUCUAUAUUUAUCUCAUAUCUUUGAUUUAUUUAUAUUUUUGUAUUUUACUGUUAUUAGAAUCAUAAAUCUUGUCCAUAAACUAAUUUUCUACUAUUUAAAUUGAUUUUUAUUUUUAGUUUUGUAUCGAGGCUGAAAUUAAAAAUCCGAACCCCAAAAACUGGCCCAAAAAUUUGAGUCCGAAUCUGGACCAUUCCAGGCCCAAAGCCCAGCUUUAGUUCUUUGACCAAACAGAACUUACAACGAGAAAAAAUGGUUUUCAAAAGUCAUGCUCCUCCGAGAAUGAGAAAAUACACGUUCCCAUGCAAGCUUAAAUACAAAUAAACAGCGAAGAAGGGUGAUCAGUGAUGACUGGAGUUUAAUAUACGCCGGUAACGAAAUGGUAACCAAGGGACAAAAUUGGGUGGUUGGUCCGAUGAGAUUCCACAUAUAGUAUUCAAUACAGAGUUCAGAGACACAGAGGGAGUUAUGGGGUGAUUCCCUCAUUUAAUGCUGUUGUCUGUUUUUCCUGGUUUGUUAGUCUCAGAGAAGAGAGAAAAAAAGAAAAAACAGAGAGAGAUGGAAAGACUUGUGGAGCGGUUUCACAUUAAUGUAGGGGGGCCUCAGCUCUGUACUUGUGGUUGAGAGUGAGAGAAUGUAAAGUGUGAUUAAAGGGUCAAAGCUUGACCCUAAUUGAUAUUCAUCCACGUAAAUAUAUAGUACAUCAAGCAAACCUAAUUAAGGGAAAACCGUGAGUUUAGGAAACAAUCCUAAACAAUAGCAACUACUUUCCUAGAAUACUUUCCUAGAAUAUAUCAUAAUAUCUCAAUCGUGAGUUUAGGAAACAAUCCUAAACAAUAGCAACUACUUUCCUAAUAUACUUUCCUAGAAUAUAUCAUAAUAUCUCAACAGAGAAAGAGAGAAAGAGAGAAAAAGAGAGAGAAAGGGAGCGAGGGAGAAUAUUAUGGGUGAUGGGUUCCUAUUAAUGCAAUGGUCCUUGUAUAGGGUCUGGUAGUGGAGGGUUGUAAAUGCUCCUGCAGAGCCUCCAUCUUCUUAAAUUCGAUCAAGACAUUCCCAUUUCUUCUCACCACUAUCCCCUUUCCAAAAUCCUCUCCUCUCUUUUUCUUUUUCUCUCUCUCUCUGUUUCUACUCCUUCGCCAUCGCCAUCACCAUCACAUACCCCCUCUUCCUCUUCUCCACUCCCCUUGCUUUGUCUCCAUCUUCUCUUCUCAGAUUCUCCCUUUUUGGGUAUUUUCCAACCGUGACGAGGAGUUGAAAUAGUUACUGUGAUGUUGGCUCGGUUCACUCAGACAAAAAGAAAAAAAGAAAAAACAAACACAUAUAUGCAUGCAUUUUUCUCUUUUAGCUUUGAUUGAGCCGUGCCAAUAUCUCAGUGCCUUUUCAUUUCUACUCAUUUGCUCUUUUCAGAUUCCACAUCCAAGUGUUUCUUCCAGGCUUCAAAAUCCAUAUCUUCACCAACAUGCCCUUUUUCUCUACACGUGAUUCUUUCCCAAAAUAGCUUGUUUCCAUCUACCAAUAGAUGGUAAAGGUCGAGUCUACCCUUCUUUCAAAGAGUGCAAAUAUAAUUUUUUUGGGGCAUUAUGGUGUUUUCUGCUCACGCAAGGGCCUCCUAUUUUUCUUGCUUUCCGGUGAGUAGAUAGUUCUCCCCUUUGUUUUCUUUCUUUCGAAUAUUUUAAUUGUAUCAUAAUAAAUUAUAAAAUUACAUAUAAUAGCAGAAAAAUUAAUAGCAUACUUUUUAUUUUCUUGAAUAUUUUUAUUUUUUUCCCUUGAAAAGGCAUGGUAUGAAGAUUUAUUUAAAAAUCAAUGUUAUGAAUAAUUAAAUUUAGAUUGCUUUAAAAUACCAUACAAUAUGUUCUCCUCUAGGUAUUUUCACAGCCACCGUCAUCACUGUUGUGACCUACCUUACUAAUAUCAGCCUUGAAUUUUGUUCUGAAAAGCUGGAAAUGUUUUUAUUUAUUUAUUUUUAUUUUUAAAAUCUUAUUGAAUUCUUUGCAAGAAAAGAGCCAAUGGCCUUGAAUCUAGGCUUUCCCCAACUGUGCCGCUCAAUCAAUGAGAAGUACCUAUCAGACUAGACAUUUAUUAAAACUUAGAGAAAUUGAAGUCAAUGCAGCUAGUGCAAUGAAUUUACACAUUAUACCCUGUUUGGAUGCCAUUUAAUUUUCUACAGUUUUAUUACAGUAGAAAAGGGAAAAAAUAUAUAUAAAUAAUUAUUAAUCAAAUUAAUCAUUUAAUAAAAAUUUAUAGAUUUUUUUUUUAUAACCUUCAUGACCUCAACCAUCAUAUGAUGAUAGUCUGAUAGAGGGUUAAAUUAACCCAUGUACAUUUUGCUUCAUUUCUUGAGGUAUAGAAGAAAUAUAGGUAGAAGUUAGUUGAGGAUAGUAAAUGCCAGAGGGGGAUGAGCGUUGGGACAUAUUUAAUAGGAAGAGUAAAUUGGAUAGGUGGGAAAAAAGUGAGAUUCUCUCGGCAUUUACACACUUAAUGACUUACCAGGAUGAGUGCAUUUACUUUUUGCACUGGGACAAAGAUUCCCUUCUUCAUUUCUCGCCACUCUCUUCCUCGCACUUCACAUUUACUCCGCUUUUACUGCUCUUUUAUUUCCUCCCCGCGCUUAAAAGUGCAUGCCGGAUAUGAUAUUUUCAAGUGAUUUCUCACAAAAGUGAAAGAAGUAUUUUUCUUAACGUUGUUUAUUUGUAAAAUUUUUAUAUUGUUUCAAGCUCUCAAACGUGGGUGUGGUGUUUUUUUGGCUGAAUAAAAAAAGUUAAUUAUUUUUCUACUCAUCAACGUUGUCCUCUCUUGUACUCUUUAAUGAAUAUUUCAAAACCUUUAUUAAGAUUUGAUGGGAUAUAAAUCAUGGGCUUGUGUUCGAAUUAAAAAAAAGCUUUCUUUUAAAAAUAAUAAUAAUAAUAAAAUAAUAAACAUGAAAGAAAAUAAUAAUUUUUUGCAUUAAAAAUGAAGCAAGAAACACAAAAAAUUCACUCCAGGUUUGAGCACUUGGGGGUUUAAAUGCUUGUUGAGUGUGUUUGACUUGUUUACACUCAAAGUACUUAUAAUAAAAGUAUUUUUUUUUGUAAAUUUUUUUUGAGAGAAUCAUUAAUUAAAUGUAUUAUAAGUAAUUUUAAAAUUUUUUAAAAAUAUUUCUUAAAUUUUAUCAAGCACUUAAUUUUUCUUCUAAAACAUUUUUUUUAAAUCUUAAAACGAGUUUGAAAGUGAUUUUAAAAAACGUUUAUAAUAUUUUUAAUAUUUAAAUUAUAAAAAUUUUAAAGCAUUAAAAAUAUUAAAAUCACUAUCAAACGGACUAUUAAUCAACUUUUUAAUUCGAUAAUUUUUUUAGCUUUUCUCUAUAGUUUUCAAUUUAAUUUAUUGUAUUGAUCAUUUUAAAGAUUUUAUUAAUCCUUACAUGCAUAUGAACCUUGAAUUUAAUGACUCUAAACCAAUCCAAAGUUGAUUCUAAUGAAGCUCCAAGCACAUCAAGAUAUAUUAAUGAAAUAAAAUUGUCAAACUUAAAUUAAUACAUGUUCAUGUAUUAAUUUUAUUUUUAAAAUGUAUAUCCUAUUGUAGACCCCCUUCCGGGGAGAAGGGGUUUUUGGGCCUUCUUUUUAUUAUUUUGCUAUCAUGAUUACUCUUCUGACCACCCCGGGACUUAGGUUGAUGGGGGCGGCUAGAUUAGAAGGAAUGCAGAGAGUAGGUGAGGGUUGGGAAUGGAAAAGAGGAGGAAAAAGAGGAGAAGAAACAGGGAGGGGCGGCAACGGGAACGGGGGGAGGCUUGACUGUCUGAGAGAGGAAGAAGCACAGAAAAAUCUCCUUGAAAGGAGCAGAUACAGGUAUUCUCAUUUCUUGAAGCCAUCUUUAUAUAUAUACAUGUUGCUAUUUUUUUCUUUGAGUUUUUUUUGGGUAUCAUUUGAUUCCACUUCUGAAGUUCGGAUGUGUUUAUCGGGAUCUCCCGUUCAUCCAUGCGGGAUUCGAGUUUGCUUUCAUUGGGCUCAUGUUCGAUUCCUAUCUUGUUUUAUAUCCUCUGUUUUUGAGAUCUCGUAUGAGAUAUUGGCAUUUACGCUUUGAUUUUUGUUUUAAAUCCCAUUUUGAAAAUUGUUUUGACCCCCUCCCACGUUCUGGGCAUCUUUAACUGAUACAUGAAGCUCCCGCAUACAUGGGAGCCAUGCAAAGGUGGCCUCUAUUUCAUACCUAUCUUUCUCCCGUGCUCAUACCCGUUCCAUACCUAUUUCCCCCACCAUCCAACCUUUGUUUUUUUUUUUUUUUUUUGUUUAUAUAUAUCUUCAUACCCAACCCCUAAAGACCAGCAGCUUCAAGGAAGAAGAACAAAGUGACGCCAUGGUAAGCAACACCACCCGUGCGCCUCGUGAUUCAACUGGUAGUGGUAGGCAUGCUUCACGCCGCGCCAUUCUCGUUGGUCCGCAAGAACAAAGCCUACCAGUUUCUGAUCUCCGAGGGCAUCAUCGCGUAGAACCUCUGCUGCACCGUCAACGUCCUGCACCACCAGCCUGCCACCCCCAGUCUUCAACCCAGAAAUAAAAAUAAAAACGGGUUGAGACCAUCUUUGAUCCUUAAAGUGGAUAUCAUGAGCAAUGGUUUCUGUUUGUGGGCCUAAGUUAAUCCAUGUGGGCCUUAAGCCCUAUCUUUUGAGUUUAGGCCUAACUAGUUUAUAUUCAAGUUGGGCCUUAUGUGAAUGGGCUCCACUGCAGGCCAUUUUAUGUCUUGUUCUUUUAUAUUUCAUGGGUCUUUAUAAAAUUUCUAUCCCCCAAGUACCCUUUCAAAAUUCUUUCAUUUAAUUAUUAUUUCGUAUUCCAAUUUUCAAAUACUCUUUCGAAACCCCAAAUUUACAAAGUUUAGUUUGCAAAACUAUUAAGUCUCGAAAUUUUAAAUUUUCCAAAGCUUCAUCCCUAUAUUUAAUUUUAAGAAAUGUCAUUUUCGAAAUAAUCCCCUAAAAUUUAAUCUUAAACCCAGGCUAUAAAACUUUGAUCCUCAAAAAUUCAAUUUACUUAAACUUCUUUCUCAAUAAUGAUAAUAAUAAUAAUAACACAAUUUACUAAAUUCCCACCUUCCCAUUAAUUUAUUAUUUUAUUUAUUUAUUCUAAAAUUCCAUUUUAAACAAUUCAUUUAAAACUUUCGAUUUCCGAUUUUAAUUUCUAAUUCCAAAAGUUCCAAUAUUCACAUUAAUCUAUUUAAUUAUUAUUACUUUAUUUAUUUAUUCUAAAAUUCCAUUUUAAACAAUUCAUUUAAAACUUCCGAUUUUCGAAUUAAAUUUCUAUUUCUGAAAAUUCCAAUAUUCACCUUAAUUUAUUUAAUUAUUAUUAUUUUAUUUAUUUAUUCUAAAAUUCCAUUUUAAACAAUUCAUUAAAAUUUUCAACUUCCGAUUUUAAUUUCUAAAUUCCUAAUCUCGAAAAUUCUCAUAUUCCCAUUAAUUUAUUUAAUCAUUAGUAUUUUAUUUAUUUAUUUCAAAACUCCAUUUUGAAUCAAUUCUUCAAAACUUCUGAUUUCCGAAUUAAAUUCAUAAUCCCGAAAAUUCACGUAUUCACAUUAAUUUAUUUAAUCAUUAGUAUUUUGUUUAUUUAUUUUAAAACUCCAAUUUAAAUCAAUUCUUUAAAACUUUUGAUUUCUGAGUUAAAUUCCUAAUCCCGAAAAUUCUUGUAUUCCCAUUAAUUUAUUUAAUCAUUAGUAUUUUAUUUAUUUAUUUUAAAACUCUAAUUUAAAUCAAUUCUUUAAAACUUCUGAUUUCCGAAUUAAAUUUCUAAUCCCGAAAAUUUAUGUAUUCCCAUUAAUUUAUUUAUUUACUUCAAAACUCCAAUUUAAAUUAAUUCUUUAAAACUUCUGAUUUCCGAACUAAAUUCCUAAUCUCGAAAAUUUCUGUAUUCCCAUUAAUUUAUUUAUUUACUUCAAAACUCCAAUUUAAAUUAAUUCUUUAAAACUUCUGAUUUCCGAACUAAAUUCCUAAUAUCGAAAAUUCACGUAUUCCCAUUAAUUUAUUUAAUCAUUAGUAUUUUAUUUAUUUAUUUUAAAACUCUAAUUUAAAUCAAUUCUUUAAAACUUCUGAUUUCCGAAUUAAAUUCCUAAUCCCGAAAAUUUAUGUAUUCCCAUUAAUUUAUUUAUUUACUUCAAAACUCCAUUUUAAAUCAAUUUUUUAAAACUUCUGAUUUGCCAAUUAAAUUCCUAAUCCUAAAAAUUCCAAUAUUCAUAUUAAUUUACUUAAUCACUAAUAGUUUAUUUAUUUAUCUCAAAAUUCUAUUUUAAACAAUUCUUUAAAAUUUUUGACUUCUGAAUUUAAUUUCCAAUUCCAAAAAUUCCAGUAUUCCCAUUCAUUUAUUCGAUCAUUACUUUCGUCCUUAUUAUUAUUAUUCCAUUUAUUUAUUUGUUUUUCUUUUGAAUCCCAAUUUCCAAAUUUAAUUUCCGAUUUCUAAACUUCCAAUCUCUUUCAAAUUUGACAUCCAAAAGUCCAACUCUUAAAUUCAAUUCCCAAGACUCCAAUUUUCAAAUAAUUUUCAAGACUCCAAUUCUCAAAUGAAUUUAAAAAAUCCAGCUUUCCUUCGAACAAUUUUAAAACCUGCUUAGUGAUGCAUGUGGUAUGUUUUGUGCUCUAUAAGGUGUACUAACCCUCUCUAUUGAUAGCGCAUGGUGGUUCGUUGCCCAGGUAUGUACCCAUUUUCCCUCUAAUCGUUGUCUAUGCAUGUCUCGACUCUUAUGUGUGCAUGAUCAUUCAGGAUAUUCAUUGAUUUACUCAUCAAUUGCCACAUCAACUUCAUUUUAUUAAUAGAGACCCGACUUUAGGGACUUAGAGGGGUGCUACAGUCUUUACCGAACCUUCCUGAUAAGUAACCUGACCCCUGAGCCCGAUCUGGUUUUUCACAUACCACAUUUUCCAAAACAUGGAGUCACACUUAGGGUUUUUCUUUCUUAUUUUGUUUACCCUUUAAAAAUAAAACAAAAAUAAGUGGCGACUCCAAGUCAUUUUCAAAUAAUCAAUAAAAAAAUCAUUUUUCAAAUUAAAAUCGAGCUCGCCAUUCGAAUGGGAAACACAUGAGCCGAAAUGCGGGGUCCACACCUAUGAAUUGUUUUUUAAUAUAUUACUAUAUAAGAUCUAGGUGUUUGACAAAAUAAAUUUUUUUUUUUUUCAAAAUCUAAAAAAAUGUUUGAAAUAAUCUUAAAUUAACAUUUUGAUAAGUGCUUCUUAAAAGAUGACUUAGAUUAAAACAUUUAAGUUAAUUUUGAUUCCCAUAAAAUUGAAGAGAAAGCAAAGUGGAAAAAUAAAAUAAAAAAUAAAAAAUAAAUUUAAAGGUAAUAAAUUAUUUUUAUGAUACUUCAAACUCAUUUAACUUAUUUUAAUAAUUUUAUAUAAAGAUUAAAUAAUCUAAUAAUAUAUAAAUUUUCACUUAAUUUUAAUUAUAUACAUAUAACCAAAUAUAAAAAAUAGUGUAUUUGUAAUUGCUUUUUUAAAACAAUUUCGAAAAAUUAUUUUUUGUUAACAAUUUUUUAAAAUUGAUCUUUCAUUUUUGUAGAACAAGAGUUUGUUUUAAAACCUAAAAAGUUUUUAACAUGUUUUUCAUAUUUUUAAAAUACUUUUUAUAUUUACUAUUUUAUAUUUAAUUAUUUUAUAUAUUUAUAAAAUUAUUUAUUAAAACAAUCAUAGAAAAAAAAUAAAAAAUAAAAAAAAAUUAAAAAAUAUUAUUUGAAAACAUUCUAUUUCGUUAUUUUAUUUUUAAAAAAUAAAAAUAAUUUUUAAUUACCAAAUUUAUUUUAUGUGUUUUUUGUUACGAAUAAUAAAAAAUUAUUCUAAAAAAUAUUUCAAACAGACCCUUCAACUUCCUUAAAAUUUUUUUUUUUCAUUUUCUUAACAUUCUUUUAUUCUUUUAUUUGCAUUUUUCUUAAAUCAAACAUAGCCUUAAAUUUUAAAUAAAAUAUUGUAUUCUAGGAAUUAUUUUUUAACUAUUUCCAAAAACAUUAUCACACUUCUUUCGUUUUUUUCUUAUAGAAUUCCCAUCACUAAAAUAAAAUAGCCUUAAAUAUUCUCAGUAAAAGUGUUGUAGUAAGAAUACUUUCACCGGGAAAAGAAAUGGGAGAAUUGUGUUUUGGGCCCAGCUGGACCCAAAAAUUAACAUUUGGUCCUCCAACCACCCAUAUUUAAGCCCAAGACCCAAACAAAGUAUGAAAAUUAAGAUGAAGGAUAUAUUGUCUUUUAUUAAUUCCUAAAAUACCCUUAUCCCUUAUAUGCCUACAAGUGAGUGUGAAUUUUAAUUUUUUUUUUUGUGUUUUUUUUCCUUUUCUAUUCCCUAUUAAAUAUUACUCAUUUCUAACUUUUUUUUUUCCUUUUCAUUCCAAUAUAUAUUUCUAUUUUAUGUCAAAUAAAAAGCAAUAAUAUUUUUUUAUUUUUCAUUUUUAAAGAUAUUGAAUCUUUUUGCUCUUAUUAAAAGUAAUGAUAAAAUUUUUGGGAUUUUUCAUUCAAAUAUUUUUUAUCUUUUUGUAUUUAUUUUUUAGUUUAAUUUUAAUUUUUUAUUUUAAAUUUAUAUUACCCUUUCAUCUAUAUUUUUCUCUUAUUUUUAAUUAUUUUUUUAUAUUUUCUACAUUAACCAUAUUUUAAAAAAUUUUAAAAUUAACUAUCACUUCACUUUAUUAUAUAUAUAUAGCUUUUUAAUUUUAAUGUUUUUAUUUUAAAAUUUUUAAAAAGAUAAAUUUGUUGAAAAAAAUAAUUAAGAUAUGAAGUUCUAAUAUUAUAUUAAUAAUUUUUCUUAUCUAGAUAGAUUAAUGUAAAGUAUUUUGACCCACAACAAGAAAAUUGUCAAUACAAUUUUUUAGUUAAACUUUAAAAAUUAAGUUUCAAAUAAAAUAUAUUAUAUAAAAUUUUAUCUAAAAAUUAUUGAAAGCGGUAUUUAAUUUUUUUAUUUAUUGACUUUCAAACUUAUCUAAUUUAAUUAUUGAAAGCGGUAAUAGAACAUGUUUAAAAAAAAAAAGAAAAUUAGUUUUCAUUUUUUAAAUAAAUGAGUAUAAAUAUAUUAAAAGAAUUAAAGAUAAUUUAAGUAAAAAUUUUGAUAAAUAUGAUUAUAAUUUUAAAUAUAGAUUCAUUUGGAUAAAAUUUCACAAAAAAAAAAAAAUUGGUGAAAAGAAAGAACAUUGCUAAAACUACAAAAACAAAAUAUGCAAUUACAAAAUUUUGAUGAUGAAAUUUAAAAAUAAAAUUCAAAACAAUUAUUGAGUGAGAGAAUUUGAGUGGGGGAAAAAAUCUUUGAGUGGAAAAAAAUAGGAAAGUUUUUCAAAAUCACUUGAAAUCCAUAACAAAAAGUAAUCUUGUACACCUUUGUACAAUUAAUAAAUUUGUCUUAUACAGUUAGUGUAAUACCCUUGUACAAUAACUCAAAUAACUCAAAAUUUUAUUUCUUAUGUGUUAAUUUUUGUAGGGAAUGUCUUAAUGAAAUAGUUUGGUAAAAAAAAGAAAAAAAAAACUAUCAAUAAUCGUCUUAAUAUCAAAUUCAAGUUGUUUAAAAAUUUGUACAAAACUUAUUAGGAGCCUUAUACACCCUUGUACACAUUUCCCUUGUACAAUGACACAAAUUUCAUAUUUGUCAUAACUUAAACAUAUUUUCAAAAAGAGACAAUAUAGAAAAUAAAAAUAAAUAAAAAUAAAAACUAGAAAAAUAUUUUAAAACCAAACUCAAAUAUAAUCUAUAUAAUUUUUAGUUAUUUGUUUUCAUCUAAAACAAGUAAAUAUACAUUUCAACCCUUUUUAUAUAAAAAUAAAUAAAUAAAUCUCUACUAUGUAUUGAUAUAAUCCACUUCUAAAAUUAGGUCAUACGAAAACAUUUUAAUUGAGUACUUAAAAUAAAAACUCUCCAUCCAUCAUCAUUUUAAUCGAGUACUUAAAAUAAAAACUCUCAAUCCAUCCACUUUCUUUAUUUUAAUAAAUUUUCAAUUAAUUCAAAUCAUUAAAAAAAAAUCCUUAAUAAACAAAUUUGUAGCAUUUCAUAUAACUUAUUAUUAAAAGUCAUGUUCAAAAAGUUAUUAAAAUAAGGAAGGAAGAAGAUUUAAAAAAAAAAAUUGAACUUUUUAUUUUAUAAUAGUAAAAAAAAACUUUAAAAUACUUUUUAGUAUAAAAAAAAUUAAAAUAGUGAAUAUAUUUAUUUUAAAUGGUAUUUUAAUCAUUAAAUUAUUUACUUCUAAAAUGUAAAUUAUAAAAAUAAAUGUAAAAGAUAAUUUUUAUUUAUUUAAAUUAAUAUUUUUUUAGAAAAUAUUUUUCAAAAUAGUAUUUGAAUCGUUAAUAUUAUUUUUGUUUAUUUAUAAUUUAAAAAUAAAAAAUAAUGUAAUUUUUCAAUUAUUUAUAAAAGAGUUUUAAAAAAAUGAAAAAUUCAAAAAUGGUUAAAUAAGAAAGAAGAGUGGCAAGUAGUAGAAUAAAGACAAAAAUGAGUCAAGUAUGUAUUUUUGUCAAUUACUAUCUCAUAUCUCUGGGCUUAAAUAUGGGUGGUUGGAGGACCAAAUGUUAAUUUUUGGGCCCAACUGGACCCAAAACAUAAUUCUCCCAAAAGAAAUUUCAAAGUACAGAACAACGUGCCCUUUUAAAGUUUCUGCUUGUUAAAAAUAAAAAAAAAUCCUCAUUUUCCAAUUGUCAUAAAGUCAUCCCAGAAAAGGUGGAUCGUGUCUAUGAAAUUGCCGUGGAGAGGCAACCACUAUCCUCUCCAGUUGAGAGAGAGAGAGUUGAUCGUUUAUAUAAACUUAUUUUACAAAUAUUUGUAUUUUAAUUUUAUCUUCUUUUUUUUAAAGCAUUUUUUUCUCUGAUAGAAAAUUUGAGAAAAAAUGAAAGAAAAAAAAAAGGGAAAAUUAGAAUGAAACAUAAUUUGAAGAAAAAUAAAAAAUAAAUUUAAAAUUAAUUAAUAUCUAAUUUAAUUAUCAAAUUUCUAACUAAUUAUUAGUUAUAUUUUUUUUUGGGUAAAUUAUAUUUUUUUUUUUUGUAUUUUAGGAUAUCCAUAAAUAUAUUAAGAUAUUAUUAUUUUUAAUUUAAUUUAGAAAUAAUUUUAUCUUAAUUAUAUAAAAUAAUUUUUUUUUUCAAAGAUUUAGAAUGUUUAUUUAACACAACAGCAAUUAGAAUAACUUGUCAGUCAUGCUACAUAUCCUUGAAAUAAUGUUGAUGUAACAGUGGGCUUUGUCUAAGCAUGGGCCAUUGUCAUUACACUAAUGGGCUUGGGCCUUUAAAAAAAAGAGAGUUACAACCAAGAAAGAAAAGAGAGAGAAAUAAUGUCUUUCUAGAGGUGAGAUGCAUCACAAAAUGAAAAGUGUAUUUAAUAAUAAUUUUAGAAAAUAUUUUUAAUUUUUAUAAUACUUAAAUAUAAAAAAAUUUAAAUAUUAAAAAUAUUAAAAAUGUUUCAUAAAAUCACUAUAAAAUUCACACAAAGACUUUAUUUAAGAAGAUAAAAUAAAAUAAUGUAUGAGAGGAAGAGAUUUUUUAUGGGAGUGCUUCACGUUUCUCUAAAAUAAAUAUAUAGGUAUGGGAGAGUGACUUUUAUGAAAUAAAUAUAUCAAGGGUUCGUUUGAUUAUCGAAAAAUGUGGGAAAAACAUAUAUAAAGAAAAAAUAAAAUAAAAAAUAAUUUUUUUUAAGUUAAUAAAUUAUUUAAUAUAAUAUCUCAAAUUCAUUUAUUUAUUUCAAUUUUUUACAUAAAAAUUAAAUAAUUUUAAAAUCCAUAAGUUUUUAUCAAUUUUAAUAUUUUGUACUUAAUAUUUUUCAAGAAUGAAACAUAACCUAAAAUAUUGGCUUGAUAUAAGAAAUUUCAAAAUACAUUUCUAGAAAAAACUCAAGGUAUAAUGUGAUCAACAUAGCAAAAAUUUGUGAAGGGUAUAAAAAGUAUGACGUUAAAUUUUAAUAAAAUGAUUCAAAAAUAUAAUUAUUUAAUAAUUAAUUAAACAAAUUGGUCUAUAUAUUUUUAAAUUAUUUAAUUUUUAUAUCCAUGAUUUAAAAUAAACGAAUAAGUGAAAUAAGUUUGAAAUCCUAAGUAACUUUAAAUCUGUUUUUAUUUUUCUUUUCUUCUAUUUUUUUCUUUUAUUUAUUUAUUUUUAUCUAUUUUUUCAAUCAAACAUACCCUAAAAAAUUUUGCACAGAAAACUGAAAUGUAUCACGUUCUAAACCAGGUUGCUAACUUUACUGAUUUUUUUAUUUUAUUUUUGUAUUAUUUACACUUGUAACAAUCUCACUUGCAGUCAUUCAGAAAUAUGGUGGCAAAUGGUUGUUUUCGCGUCAUAGUUUGACCCUUAAAUCAAUAUUGCGUUUUAACUAGCCAUUACUGGGUGGUGAGUCCUAACUAUUGGUUGCCCAUCAUUUCAAAGAUGUGAUUUUUCAAAUGAUUUAUAAAAAUAAACAAUCCAACAUUCUAUUGAAACAUUUAAAGUUGAUACACGAAAUAUCUAGGCUAUAAGUCACUCUCAAACUUCCAUUAAUACGAAAAUCUCAGUUGCCAAACCUUGCCAUAAAAUCAAUUCAGUUCCAUUGUCAUGAAGGAAGAAAGAGUAGCCCAAUCCCAUUUAUGGACUAGAGUUAGUACACCACCACACCACCUUUGUAAUCAAGUAUUACUUUCAUUGUAUUACUAUUUAUACAUAUGGUCAUGCAUAUAUUGUUUAAUUUGGUAGGGAUUUACAAUAUCUGAAUACAUCAUUGAUAAAUCUAAUAUUCACGGAUCCUGAUAUACCAAUUUGUUGAUUUUUUCAUAUUUAUAUUUCAUUGAUAUUUCCGGAUAUUUCACUAAUUUUUUGAUUAUUAAAUAAAUUAAUUUUAAUUAUUUUAUUUUUAUAUUUGAUUUAAUUUAUUAUAUAAAAACGUAAUUUUCUUAAGAGGUUUUUUUGUUUUAUAUAAUCUAUAUAUUUAUUAAAUAUAAAAAUAUGAAUAUUAAUUUUUUAUAUAUAUAUAUUUAUUUAUUUGAUAUAAUUUAUAAUGGAUCAUAAUUUUAAUAUUAAAUAUAUUUUAAAAUUAGACAUAUUAUCAUAAUAAUAUUUUUUAUUGAUAUAGAGGAUAUUAUUAUGAUAAAUUAUAUGUAUUCAUUUUUUUUUUUUAUCAAAAAUAACUUUUAAAUAUCUAUUUUUUACUUCUUAUAUAAUAUUUUAAAGUUUUUUUAAUUAAUUUUUAUAAUAUUUUAUGAAUACCAUAAUUACUGAUAUUUUUAUCAAUGAAAUCUUAACUAUUGAUUGCCCAUCAUUGCAAAGAUGUGACAAGAUCUAAAACAAAUGAUUUUUCAAAUUACCUGUAAAAAUAAACAAUCCAACAUUUUUAAGAAAGGCGUGAAUGCCUUUCUUUCUUAUACAAGGGAGAUGCAUUGAAACAUUCAAGGCUGAUGCACUAUUAAUUAUAUAGAAAUAUAUAGGUUAUAAGUCACUGUCAUACUUUCAUUAAUACGAAAAUCUCAAUUAUCAAACCUUGGAAAGUACCAUAAAAUCAGUUCGAUCCAUUGCCGUGAAGGAAGAAAGAGCGACCCAAUCCCAUGCAUGGACUAGAGUUGUACGCCACCACUCCACCUUUGUAAUUAAGUAUCAGUCUCAUUGUAUUACUAUUUAUGCAUAUAGCCCGUGUGUAUAAAUAGCCCAUGUUGGAGCUAGGUUUCUUUCCUCCUGGCUUCCAUUAUUCGUGCGCUAACCUACAAUGCAAGGUUCACCUUGACCUGGUAGUAUCCGGACAGACCCCUCCGAUUGUCAAGUCAUUUGGAGAUCUGGGGUGGUUACCUUCCGAUAUUGCCCUUCGUGUUUUCCCACGUUUCUUACUAGGUCAAACACUUUGAGCAGGCCUCCAGGUUAUGCCCAUAAUUUCAGGCCCCAUGGGGUGCCUACUGCCCAUGCAUGGGUUGUUUGGUAGGAAUGGAAGUGAUACUUCACUUGUACAUCCAUGGCGCGCACACACACUAGAAAAUAAAGAAGAUUUUGAAAUUUAAUCAUAUUUUUCAAACAUUAAGGGGAAAAGCUGAUCCACCAUAUUAUGUGAAACUAUAUACUAUGCAUUUAAAUUUAAUAAAAAAAUCAAAAUAUAUUCUUGAUAUUUUUAAUCAUUUAUUAUAAUAACCCAUAAAAAAAUAUUUGAAAACAUUUAAAAUCUAUUUUUAAAAAACAAUAUGAUUUUAUAAUAAAGUUUAGAAAAAAACCAUUGUAAACCCCCUUUCAGAAGACCAAAGACUAUUAGUUCUUUUAGGGCCAUCAUCACAUCUACGUUCGGCGUUCGGAGCCAUCGUUAUCACUUCUCAGUGUCGGUGUUAAGAGCCAUCCUCGUCGCAUUUUCAGUUUCGACGUUCCGAGCCAUCAUCUCAUCUUCGUUCGCGUCCAGAGCCAUCGUUAUCACUUCUCAGUAUCGGCAUUCAGAGCCAUUGCCUACCUUUGUUUCGGCGUUCAGAGUCAUGUUUCACUUCGUUUGGUGUUCGGAGCCAUAUUUUCGCUCGGCGUUCAGAUCCACUUCUUCAUUUGACGUUCAGAGCCACUACGUCACUCAUUUCGGCAUUUAGCGUCCUGUUUUGUUUCAUUUUGACAUUCAGAGCCAUUACUUAUCUUUAUUUUGACGUUCAGAGCCGUGUCUUGCUUCGUUUGGCAUACAGAGCUAUAUCUUCGUUUGACAUUCGAAUCCACUUCUUCAUUCGGUGUUCAGAGCCACUGCAUAUCGUUCGUUUCGACGUUCAGAGCCACGUCUUCAUCUGCGUUCAGGACCAUUAUCUGUUUAUUAUUAUUAUUAUUAUUAUUAUUUAGUGUUUCGAGUGGAGGGUUUAGUUCGACACUCAGAGUCCUCAUGUCUAUCUUUCGUUCGAUUCAUCACCAUUUUCCUCAUUUCUGGCGUUCAGAGCCAUUGGGCACACUCUUUCGGGCCUUUUGAGCCAUUUAUUUUCUUUAAUUUUAACGUUCAGAGCCACUGUUAUAUUUGACGUUUGCCGCCACUACCACAUUUUUUCUUUUAGUUUGGCUUUCAAAGCCGUUUUUCAUACCCAUUCGUGCAUUUUGAGUCAUCAUCUUUCUUAGUUUUGGCAUUCAGAACCAUUGUUCUGUUUGACGUUCAGUGCCACCGUCAUUCUCUAGUUUGGCGUUCAGAGCCAUUGUACACAUUCAUUCGAAGACCUUGAGUCAUCAUCUUUCCGUGUUUUGACGUUUAGAGUCAUUUCUCCUCGACUGUAUCAUUCAGGGUCACAGCCCCUGGCAUUCGUAUUCGCUGACAUUAUACGUCUUGACUCCAUGGCUUUGCAUAUAUCCUUGUUUUCCUCACCGCGUUACCCUGUGCUUAUCGCUUAUUAGUCAUUGCUCUUCCAGAAUUCUCUUUUCAUUGCCCCUGACACGGUCCUUUGAGUUUAUGACACAUAUUUCGGUCAUGUUGUUGGGCACCCUAUGCUUGGCACUUUCAUGUAGUUUUCUUCGGGCAGUCUUCUUGGGACACUUUCUUUAUAGUACUCCAGAGUGGUUCGACAGUUACUCAUCUUUGAUAUGGUUUUUCGAGUCACUUAUGGAGACGUCUUAAAAAAAGUCUGGAUCCUUUAGUGUGGCUUCAAAGUCAUUUUGAGACAUCGUUUUCUUUUAGGAUUAAAGCCUUUAUGUUCGUCUAUUGACCUGAGUAAGUCCGUGUUUCACUGGUGUCCCUAUGGGGGUCUCUUUGUUUCUUCGGUAGAGUUCACUUCAUUCCACUCAUUAUUCACACUUUCUUUUUACUCUAGUAUUCAUAUUCCUUACAUUUGUAAAUUCUACCGAAGAUGGGCAUAUUUGUAGACCCCCUUUCAGAAGACCAAAGACUAUUAAUUCUUUUAGGGAUUUUUUUUUAGCAUGGAGGGAAUGCUAUUUCACCACUUGGUAUACCUGGUAGCACCCGAGAAGUGUGGGGGGACCCCUCUCCAUGCAUGGAUCCCAACUGCAUGCAGACGGUAGGGGACAUGAUGGUCGGAUGAAGGUGGUUGAGGAGCCCAUACCUGCUGAGGGGAUGAACAGAGAAGUAGGUAAUGGCUUGCCCAAGAAGAUAGAGAGAAGGGGGGGGGGGGGGGCAGAAGAAUUUUUUGGAAAAAAAAAAAAAACCGGAAAAAGAACUGAAGGCAAGGAGGGAGCCAGAUGUCUGAAAAAGGGGGAGGGGAAUCCCAAAAGAAAGGAGAAACCUGGAGGGGGAGAAGGGGGAGAGGGAUGAUAUUUUCCCUGGGUCUUGGGCUCCCUUGGAGUAUAUGAACUCCCUAUUUUUCUCUUAAUAGUUUUGAGUAAAUAUCAUCCGGGUAUAUGUUUCGUUUCCUGGGUCAUAAUUAUGGGUUGGGAGCUGCCAUCUCUUUCCUAUUUUUGGGUUGGUUGGGNNNNNNNNNNNNNNNNNNNNNNNNNNNNNNNNNNNNNNNNNNNNNNNNNNNNNNNNNNNNNNNNNNNNNNNNNAGAGAGGUAUGAUAUUUACCAUGGCUCGAGCUGAGGGCAAGGAGGGAGCGAGAUGUCUGAGAGAGGUGGAGGGGAAUCCAGAGAGAAAGGAGAAGCCUGAAGGAGGAGAAGGGAGAGAGGUAUGAUAUUUACCAUGGCUCUUGGACUCACUUGAUGUAUAUGAUCUCCUUAUUUUUCUCUUAAUAGUUUUGAGUAAAUAUCAUCUGAGUAUAUGUUUCGUUUCAUGGUUCAUAGUUAUGGUUUGGAUGCUGCUAUCUCUUUCAUAUUUUUGGUUUGUUUGGAGAGCAAUGAAGCUAUGUUUUAACCUCCUCUUCAUGGCCAUUACCAUGCUCAUCAUCCACCCCCCAAUACCCACACUGUCACGCACUAAUAUACCAACUCCAUUUCAUCACCAUCCGACAUUCCAUGCAUGGCCGUCACCCUUACCCAUCUUCCCCAUCAUCUUUUCUCUCUCUAGCCGACAUACUCAUCCCUCACCCACGUGCGCGGAACCUGGUAUACCUGGCUGCCCACCAUGCCCGUGUUCAGCUCGUCUCCACAAGAACCCCCAAAGCCGCCCGUCUACACGCGUGUGUCCCAUGCACGCAAGCCGCCCUGUCCCUCUUUUUUUUUUUUGCUGCAUGCACCGCGUCGACAAGGCCCCUGCUCCUUACCAGCCACCAUCACCCGCUCUAGUCAUGCGGGCAUUCGCACCAGCCGCCAUGGCGGCAACAUCUCUUGGAUGCCACGGGACUGCCGCCACUGCUCCUCUCUCCAUGGUGCCGCUGGCGGUGGGAGCUUCCUCUGAGGAUGAUAUCCAGGCGGAGGGGCAAGCUAUGAAGGAGAUGAAGUCUUGGGCUUGAGAAGAAGCCCAACCCAAUCAUGUUGAUGGAACCAUGUCAUCUCAAAUAAGUGGGCUGUGAGAGGAAAUGAUGCCUUGGGCUUGCCCAUGAUGAGAAUUGAUUUGGGCUUUAGUGGGCUGGACCCAGAUGAAAGGUCCAAGCUUGUCAUGAAGGUAAUGGGUGCCUUGGGCUUGCCCAUGGCAAGGACUUUGGGCUUAAGUUGGAGCCCAGGCCCAAAAGUUGCUGAUGAAAGGCCCCAUUGCUCCUUAAGCCAAUCACCCUCAUGGCCCGAGUCCAUGUUGAGUUAGCCCAUUUGGUUGCCUUAAUUCCAAAAAAAUCUCUAUACCUCUAAUCCUUCAAAAAUCUCAUGGCUUAAUUUAAUUUUCCAAUAGAUUCGUUUAAAUCUCAUUUUCAUCAAUUAGGACUAUUAUCAUAUACUUAUCUAACUAUUUAAAGCCUAAAUCUUUCAAGGAAAUCAUAUGCCUUAAUUUAAUUUUCAAUAAUUAGUUCAAAUCUCAUUUUCAUCCGUUAAAAUUAUUUAUCCCAUAUUUAUCUAGCUAUUUAAAGUCUAAAUCUUUCAAGGAAAUCAUAUGCCCUAAUUUAAUUCUUCAAUAAUUAGUUCAAAUCUCAUUUUCAUCCGUUAGGAUUAUUUAUCUCAUAUUAUCUAGCUAUUUAAAGUCUAAAUCUUUCAAAGAAAUCACACAUCUUAAUUUAAUUUCUCAAUAAUUAGUUCAAAUUUUAUUUUCAUCCAUUAGAAUUAUUUAUCCCGUAUUAUCUAGCUAUUUAAAGUCUAAAUCUUUCAAAGAAAUCACAUAUCUUAAUUUAAUUUUUCAAUAAUUAGUUCAAAUAUCAUUUUCAUCCAUUAGAAUUAUUUAUCUCAUAUUUAUCUAGCUAAUUAAAGUCUAAAUCUUUCAAAGAAAUCACAUAUCUUAAUUUAAUUUUUCAAUAAUUAGUUCAAAUCUCAUAUUCAUUAGAAUUAUUUAUCAUAUACUUAUCUAGCUAUUUAAAGUCUAAAUCUUUCAAAGAAAUCACAUAUCUUAAUUUAAUUUUUCAAUAAUUAGUUCAAAUCUCAUUUUCAUCCCUUAGAAUUAUUUGUCACAUAUUUAUCUAGCUAUUUAAAGUCUAAAUCUUUCAAGGAAAUCACACAUCUUAAUUUAAUUUUUCAAUAAUUAGUUCAAAUCUCAUUUUCAUCCAUUAAAAUUAUUUAUCCCGUAUUAUCUAGCUAUUUAAAGUCUAAAUCUUUCAAAGAAAUCACAUAUCUUAAUUUAAUUUUUCAAUAAUUAGUUCAAAUCUCAUUUUCAUCCAUUAGAAUUAUUUAUCCCAUAUUUAUCUAGCUAAUUAAAGUCUAAAUCUUUCAAAGAAAUCAUAUAUCUUAAUUUAAUUUUUCAAUAAUUAGUUCAAAUCUUAUUUUCAUCCAUUAGAAUUAUUUAUCAUAUGCUUAUCUAGCUAUUUAAAAUCUAAAUCUUUCAAAGAAAUCACAUAUCUUAAUUUAAUUUUUCAAUAAUUAGUUUAAAUCUCAUUUUCAUCCAUUAGAAUUAUUUAUCUCAUAUUAUCUAGCUAUUUAAAGUCUAAAUCUUUCAAAGAAAUCAUACGUUUUAAUUUAAUUCUUUAAUAAUUAGUUCAAAUCUCAUUUUCAUCCCUUAGAAUUAUUUAUCCCGUAUUAUCUGGCUAUUUAAAGUCUAAAUCUUUCAAGAAAAUCAUACGUCUUAAUUUAAUUCUUCAAUAAUUAGUUCAAAUCUCAUUUUCAUCCAUUAGAAUUAUUUAUCCCAUAUUUAUCUAGUUAUUUAAAAUCUAAAUCUUUCAGGGAAAUCCUAUGUCUUAAUUUAAUUCUUCAAUAAUUAGUUUAAAUCUCAUUUUCAUCCAUUAGAGUUAUUAUCCCAUAUUCAUCUAAUUAUUUAAAGUCUAACCCUUCAAAAAUCUCAUGUCUUAAUUCAAUUUUUCAAUAGUCCGUUCAAACCUUAUUCGUCUAAAUGUUAUUUUCCUUAAGUAAAAUUAUUAUAGUAUAUUUAUUUAUUUAUUUAUUUAUUUAAAGUCCAAUUCUUCAAAAAUCCAACGUCCUAAUUUAAUUUUCGAUCUCAAAAAUCCCACUACUCAUUUUUCAUUCAUUUAAAUAUUAUUUUCAUUAAAUUAGCAUUAUUAUCCCAUACUUAUUUAUUUAUUCCAACCAUUAAAGUUUAAUUCAUCAUAACCCGACUUCCAAAUCUAAUUUUCAAUCUCAAAAGCUCCACCGUCCCUAUAUUGUCGUUUAACGAUUAUUCUCGUUAUUAAUGUUAUCUCAUCCACUUAUUCAGUUAUUCAUAUACCAAAGAUCUCGUCCCUAAAUAUUUUCUUAAAUUUUCAAUCUAUGAGUUUAAUCUCCAAUCUCUAAAAAUUCCAUCUCUCGUAAUUAUUUACCUGAUCUUUAUUAUUUCACCAUCCCAUUCAUUUACUUACUCACUCAUUCGCUUAUCCACUCGUUUAAAAUCCCGAACUCUCAAAUCAUUUUUCAAAUUUCCAACCUCGUUCAAAUUCAAUUUCUAAUAUUCUCGUUCUCACAUUUAGUUUCUAAAAGUAUGAUCUUCAAAUAAACUUUAAAAUUCCAAUUUUUAAAUAACCAUCGGGACUCCAAUUUUUCAAAUGAAUUUCAAAUAUCCGAUUUUCUCUCAAAUAGUUUUAAUUUCAUUCUGGUCUUCAAACAAUCUUCUGCUCCUCUUGAUUUUAAUAAGCAUGAACGAAUUUUUCAUAAUUCCAAAAUAAUGGAGUCUGUGACGUUAAGUCAUGCAAAUAUAAACGGGUUUUAGUGGGAGCCCAACAUGGGUGACUUUAUGAUUGAUUGAUUGAUUGUUUGAUUUAAUUAUCAUACACGAUUGGUUUAUCCUACUCUCUAACAUGCAUGCGAUUAUUCCUAAAUUGUGCACUAACCCUCUCUAUUGAUAGCGCAUGGUGGCUCGUUGCCCAGGUAUGUACCCAUUUUCCCUCUAAUCGUUGUCUAUGCAUGUCUCGAUUCUUAUAUGUGCAUGAUCAUUCAGGAUAUUCAUUGAUUUACUCAUCAAUUGUCACGUCAGCUUCAUUUUAUUAGUAGAGACCCAACUUUAGGGACUUACAAGGGUGCUACGGCCUUUACCGUACCUUCCCGAUAAGUAACCUGACCCCCAAACCGGAUCCGGUUUUUCGUAAAUCACCUUUUCCAAAAUAAGGAGUCGUACUUAGGGUUUUCUUUCUUAUUUUGUUUACUCUUUUAAAAAUAAAAUAAAAAUAAGUGAUGACUCUCAGUCAUUUUCUUAAUCAAUAAAAAUUGUUUUUCAAAUAAAAAUCGAGCUCACCAUCCAGUGGGAAACGUAUGAGCCGAAAUGCGGGGCCACAACCAUUAUCAAUCAUAUUUUUUAAAAAAAAAACUAUUUACUUAAUUACUUUAUUCACCACCAAAGAUUUUCCUCGUCUCUUGGCAUAUAAGCUCAUGGGUCGAAGUUCCACGAAACUCCAGGGUACAACAAGGGGUAAAAAGGUCACAUAUCACAGUCACUUCCCAAAUACGUAUGAAUUGAUUUCGUGCAAUCCAUCAUCUUCAAGAAACAAGAGGCGAGAGAGCCGUUUCACGUACUGAAUUUGGGUGUUGUGGUGAGUCUCAUGGACAACUGGACUCGAAAAUGAUCCGACUCUUUUAUGUCGUCUCGGCAUUAUUAAUUUCCGCAAAUCCAUCACAUUGCGCCCCGUACGUUUCUGUUAGGAUUCUUUCAAAUAAUUUUUCACGUAUCCGAUUACUAGUCUAUCUGAAAAAGCAGAUAUUUCAAAUUGUUGGCCCCGCUUUCAUCUAUAAUUAGCCUUAUUAGUCAAAUAAUUCACACUACUCAUUGUUCAUGCUCACAGAAGCACUUAUCUCACUAUUCAAGUGGAAUGGUUGGGCAACUUCACCACUACUCUAUGAAUAUAUUUUAUAUGUUUUGAGCACUUCUGGCUUUGAAUAAAGCAUUUUUUAUAGUCAUAUUUGUACACCUAAUUUUCAUAUGAAGUCAUAUUUGUACAGCUAAUUUUCAUAUGAAGUCAUAUUUGUACAGUUAGUUUCCAUAUGAAUCGAGAGGAGGAAAAGAGAAAAAUGUGAAAUGGCCAACCUUUUCCAUACGUGAAAUAUUGGUAGUCCAAUGCAGGCUCCUUUUUUUUGAAUGGAAAAUAACUAUAUUCAAAAGGAUGAAUUCUCCGGAAUGGGUGAAUUUCAGGAUUGGGCCUUAAGUGCUUUAGCAAAUGUCAAGUAAGCGUACGUGAAGAUAUAAACAGCGAGUCAGGAUCCUUUUUUUACACAGCCUCCUCCCAUUCGCCUUUAGCCACUUACGCGUGAAUUCCGCGCUUAGAACAAUUUUAACAUCUCAUGCAAUGCUGGUCCACCAAAGAAUCCAAUCAAAAUGCUAUAAUUCAAUUCAUUACCACGGAAUCUCAAACCUGUUGAUUCUUCUCAUAUCAAAAAGCAACUCAAUUAUGGACAACUUUUCUUCUUUUUCUCCAUCAAAUACUCAUGGUGGUAGAUGCCUCCUUUCUUUAUCUCCCUAUAUAUAUUUAUUUAUAUAUCUUUCCCACAGACAAAACCACUUCCAAAGCUCUCUUAACCAGCCAUGGGUUCCAACCACAAGAGUCUCCAGGCAAUAUUGGGCGCACCAGGAGUGAGGGGUAAGAGGGUAACGGCUCUAUCAAAAGAUGGAUUAACUGAUUUUGUGCUUUCCAUGAUCUCCAAGAAACAAGAGCUCAAAGAGCCAUUUUAUGUGCUUGAUUUGGGUGUGGUGGUGAGUCUCAUGGAGAAGUGGUCUCGGGCUCUGCCUCUGGUUCGACCCUUUUAUGCUGUCAAGUGCAACCCGGACCCCACAUUUCUUGCUGCACUAGCGGCUCUCGGCUCAAGCUUUGACUGUGCUAGCCGCACGGAGAUUGAGACCGUUUUGGGUCUUGGAGUUUCUUCGGAUCGGAUUAUUUUUGCAAACCCAUGUAAAGCCGAGUCUCAUAUCAAGUACGCCGCAAGCGUAGGCGUUAACUUGACAACUUUUGAUUCAAGGGAUGAAAUCGAGAAAAUUCGAAAAUAUCACCCGAAAUGUGCCUUAUUGAUCCGGGUGAAACCUCCGGAGCACGGUGUCCAUUAGAGUCCAAGUACGGUGCACUCCCUGAGGAGGUGACGCCGCUCCUCCAGGCUGCACAAGACGCUCGGCUCACUGUCUCCGGCGUGUCUUUCCAUAUUGGUAGCGGCGCCACCCUUGCGCAGGCCUACCGGGGGGCGAUAGCUGAAGCGAGGGCGGUGUUUGAUACAGCCUCGCGGCUCGGCUUGCCUCGAAUGCAUGUGCUCAAUAUCGGUGGCGGCUUUACAUCUGGGCCGCACUUCGAUGACGCCACUUCUGCUAUCAAAUCGUCUCUCCAAGCCUACUUCCCUAACGAACAUGGGUUAACCAUCAUAGGCGAGCCAGGCAGGUACUUCGCCGAAUCGGCUUUCACUCUAGUCACCAAUAUUAUUGGGAAGCGUGUGAGGUCGGAGCUGAGGGAGUACUGGAUCAACGACGCAUUUACGGCUCUCUGAACUGUAUACUAAACGACCAUGCAACUGUGACCGCGAAGCCUCUCGCUUGCACUUCCAAUAGCGUGAACCCCACGUGCCGUCGAGUUAGGACUUACUCCUCUACAGUGUUUGGACCCACGUGCGACGCACUUGAUACAGUUUUGACCGGUCACCAGUUGCCAGAACUGCAGGUCAAUGAUUGGCUGAUGUUUCCUAGAAUGGGAGCUUAUACCGCUGCUGCCGGGUCCAACUUCAAUGGGUUUAACAUGUCCGCGGUUACGACCCACCUAGUCUACUCGAAUCCAACCUGAGACGUGGUGCUUUUUGGAUGGUUGUUGACAAUCUUUUCCUUCUUGUCCCUUAUGGAGAAAUUUACGUAAGAAAAUCGAUUGUGUCUUUGCUUUGGAGUUUGGAAUAUUAAUAAUAAACAUGGAUUGUUGUAAUGGUGUGCUUUAUAAUUUAAUUAAACUAUUUUCCUUAUCCAUUUCUAGAAAACAGAAAUCAUAUAAUUUCUUUUCUUACUGGAUUGUACAUGUAAAAAGUUCAAUUCUUCUCAAAAAGUCAAAAUCACCAUGGUUAUCUUAAAAAAAUAAAAAUAAAAAACAAAAAUUGACAUGUGGUAACCACCCAUGUCAUAUAAUUUCUCUUUAUUUAUUUAUUAUGUUUGUCAAUUUUUUUUAAGCUUGACAUAUGUCCCAAAUUAUUUUUAUUUUUAUUUUCUCUUUCUUUAUUUUAGUUUUUUUAGUUUUUUUUUUUAUAUGUUAGUUACAUUUUUUUUAUGAAUUUUUUAAUUCUUUUUUUUCAUUCUUUCAUCUUUUUAUUUUAAUUAUUUAUGAACCCUUGAAAUAUAAAAUAAUAUAUAAUAUAUAAUAUAUAAUAUAUAAUAUAUAAUAUAUAAUAUAUAAUAUAUAAUAUAUAAUAUAUAAUAUAUAAUAAAUAAUUAAUGAAAAAUUUUAAUAUAAUUUUUAUUUUUUAUUCAUAUAAAAUAAAAAUAAAAAAUAAAAAAUAUUUUUUCAUGCACAAUUUGUAUUUAAUAAUUUAUAUUAAUUUUUUCUUAGUUUUAUUAAAAAAUAAUUUUUUUUUGCAUAGUGAAAAUUGUGCAACACAACUCUUAGAAAAAAAAGGAUAUCACUCUUUUAUAAAAAAAAAUAACAUUAAUUAGUAUAGCUCUUAGAAAAUAAGGUAUUACUCUUUUAUGAAAACCGUAACAAAUUGUUAAAGGUAUACUUAACACACUUGAGUAUUAUUAUUAUUUUAUAUAAAAAACAAAAGUAAUAUCCUUUUUUUCCAAUGGUUGUGUCUAUUUGUGCACAAUUUGAGUGUGCAAAAAUUUUAAUUUUUAAUAAUUUUUUAAAAAAUAAUAUAAAUGAUUAGAUACAAUUUUUUAACAAAAAAUUAAAAUUUUUAAUAAAAAAAUGUUAGAACCACAACCAAGUUUUUAUCCUCUUUAAUUAAAAAUAUUAAAUAUUUUAAUUAAGAAAAAAGUUAAAACCACAAUCAAAUUAAAUUCAUAAGCAAAAAGUUAAAACCAUAAUCAUCAAUUUUGAUUUUAUUAUGAAAAAUUGAAAAUUUUAAAAAAUAAAAAUAUUAAAAUAAUAUGACAAUGUAAUAAGAUUUAUAAAAUAAAUAAAUAUUUUUUAGUAGCAAUCUAAAAAUCUUAUAUUAUAAAUCUCUAAAUUUGUUCAUUGUGUAUUUAUUUUUAUAUUAAAUUUGUUUUCAUUAGUUAUUAAUUAUUUAUUUUUAUUUUAUAUUUAAAAUGUUCUUAAAUAAUUGAAAUCAAUGCAUAUGAAGUGAUGAAAUUGUGAAAAAAAAAUUAAAAUUUUAAAAUUUUGAUAAAGCCAACACAUUAAAAAAAGCAAAAAAGGUAUUUUUAACUUUUGAAAAUAGUUUUUGAAUUUUUAUAAAACAAAAGUCUAUUUGAAAACUUAAAAUAUUUUUAACACAUUUUUAAUAUUUUUAAAUAUGUUUGAAAAAUAAAUUUUAUAUCUGGUGUUUUAUUUUUUUAUUUAUUUUUUUUUAUCAUUUUACAUGUUUUUGUAUGAUUAUUUUGUUAAAAUAACUCUUAAAAAAUAAGUAAAAAUAAAAAAAAAAAUAUUUUACUUUUUAUUCUUAAUAAAAAAUCAUUUUUAAUUGUUAAUUUUUUUUUUUUUAUCUUUUAAAUAAUAAAAAACUAUUCUAAAAAAUAAUUUUCAUGAAUCCUAUUGAGAUGCUCUUACUUAAGCAACUAUCUCUAACAAAUUAUUUGGUCCUAUUUGUUAUUAAUGGGAUCAAGAAUACUUUCAAUAAGAAAUAUAUUGAAGAGUUGGUGCAGGGUAAUAAUGGGAUCAGAGUUUAUGAAAAGUCUGAUCUAAAAUUCCUAAAAAAAAAUUAGCCUUUUAUUAUUAAAUCAACAAUGAUCCGGUAAAAGGGGAUUUAAGCUAGGUUCAAUAGAAAAUAAGACAAUUAUGUUUUGGACCUACUUGAGUAAAAAAAUUAAGCUUUGGUCUGUAUAAGUUCACCAUUUAAGUUCAAGAUCUAGAAGAAGUGUGAAAAUUGAUAGGAAGGAUAUGAAUUUUUUAUCUUUCAAAAAAUGAUAUUUAUUGACUAUGAAAAAAGGAAAGUAGAAAAGCAUUAAUUUAAAUUUUAUUUAUUUUGUAAACCUCAAUAAAAUUUAAUUUAAUUUAGUGAUUUGGAAAAAAAUAUACCAUUUUCCAAAAACAUAAAAAUAAAAAUAAAUUAUUAUUAUUAUUAUUAUUUAAAAAUCAAACAUCUUAGAAAAUAUCUAUCUUUAAAAUUGUGUAUAUAAAAAAUAACUAAAAAUAUGUCAAAAUUAUUUUUUUUAAAUGAUGUAUUUUUAGAAUAUAUUUAAAAAAAAUUAGUUUUCUAAAAAUAAUGAAUUUUCAAAAUAAUUAUUAAAUAAAUAAAUAAAAAAGUUUAUCAAAUAUUAUGAUAGAAAAUACUCAAAAUAGUUUUGAAAUGCAUAUUGGUUUCUUCAUAUUUUAUAUUAUUUUUAUCAAUUAUAUAAUUUUUAUGUGUCAAAUCUUAAGUUUUUGGCUAAUUGGGUCAAAAGCACAAUUAUGCCGGGGGGAAAUAUGGAUGGAAAAGUUGUUGGUUAGGAACUUAGGACACAGAUUAUAAACUUUUUGUACGUGGUAUGCCUACCUUUUUUGAAAUAUUUCCAAUCGCUUUUAUAGACAAGACGAAUUGUUGGAAGUAUAGCAUCGAACAAGUAGACGUAGCUGUUGACUUGUAUGGCGAAACAAUGUUCUAUCAAAUCGGUCAAACUCUCCCAUUUCUGGCCGCUUCUCCAGUUCUCCUUCGUGAUUGAUAACGAGGUGAGGCCCACAUCCCAACAUAUCAUAUCUUACAUGGGCUGAUGAUUUUCCUACGUGGCCAUCAAACAAAUAAAGAAAAAUGGAAAGGGAGAAUCACGGCCACAUAAAAAUAAAAUAAAAUUUAAAUGUUAGAUUUUUAACUUUGGAAACAAAACACGUACAUUUUGGAAAAAUUUCCAAAAACUAGUCUCUCUACCCAUCACUCCUACCCCCCAUCACCUACUUAUUUUUAUUCUCUCUACCCAUCUCUCCUACUCCCAUCACCUACCUAUUUUUAUUUUUAUUUUUGACACGUCAGAGAGCAUCAUGAUUAUCUUAAAAAAAAAAAACACCUUUGAAAUGUGGCAACCAACCACUGGCACAUGAUUUAUUUAUUUUUUCAAUUUACUAGCUUCAUGAAAUUUUUUUAAUUUCAAUUUUUUUCACCACUUCAUAUUAAUUGAUUUUUAUUAUUUUAUUGAUAUUUUAAACAUAAAAUAAUAAUUUAUGAUAAAUAAUUAAUGAAAAUAAAUUGAAUAUUAAAAUAAAUACAUAACUAAUAAAUGUAGAGGUUUAGGAUAUAAGAUCUUUUAUAUUAUGUUAAAAAAAUAUUUAUUUAUUUUAUAAAUCUUAUUAUAUUGUGAUCUUAUUUUAUUAUUUGUAUUUUUAAAAAUUUUAAAAAUUUCAUGUGACAAUCAAAAUUAAUGAUCACGACUUUACCUUUUUGAUCAUGGUUCUAAAUUUUUGAUUGAUUAAAAUAUUUAAUUGUUUAUUGGUUAAAAUAUUUAAUUGUUUAUUUAUAUGAAAUAAAAAUAUAUUUUUCAUAACAAAUUGUAUUUAAUAAUUUAUAUUAAUUUUUUAAAAUUUUAUUAAAACUUUAAUUUUUUACUUACCAAGUACUGAAACCAAUUUAGAGUGUUUAGGAAGGUGUUAAUUUUUUUUUUGUGUACUUCAAAGAUGUGUAAUUUUAGUAUGCAAAAAUAUUAAAGAUACUUGAAAGAUGUAUAAAUUUAACAUGGAAAAUUUUUAAAUCUGUUAUAAAAUAUAUAGUUUAUUUUAUAUUUUAUAUAAAUAAAAAAUUAAAUAUCUUUACCAAGAAAAAAGUUAAAAUCAUAAUAAAAAGGCUAGAACUAUGAUUAUUGAUUUUGAUCUUCACAUGAACAUAUAAAAAUUUCAAAAAAUAUAUACAAUAAAAUAAUAUGGCAACAAUAUUUUUAUUUAAUUUAAAUAUGAUAAGAUUUAUAAAAAUAAAUAAAUAUUUUAUUAUUUUUAUUUAAUAUUGAUAUAUAAAAUCUUAUAUCGUAUACUUCUAAAUUUGUUCAUGUAUUUAUUUUUUUAUUAAAUUUAUUUUCAUUAAUGAUUUAAUAUAUAUAUAUAUAUAUAUAUAUAUAUAUAUAUAUAUAUAUAUAUAUAUAUUAUUAUUUUAUGAUUAAAGUGUUUAUAAAUAAUUUAAAAAUAAAUAUGAAAAACAUAUUUUAUUUUUAUUUGAUAUAAAUAAAAAUUACAAAUUUUAACAAUGCAAAAUAUUAGAACUAAAGCUAAGUUUUUAUCUUUUAUAAUUAAAAAUAUUAACAUUUUAACUAAAAUAAAAGAAGUUAAAAACACAGUUAAUUAAGAUCAUAAACAAAAAAACUAAAAUUAUGAUUAUUAACUUUAAAUUUUAUAUGAAAAUUUAAAAAUUUUAAAAAUAUAAAUAAUUAAUAAUAUGACAAUGUAACAUUAUUUAUAAAAUAAAUAAAUAUUUUAUUUAAUAGGAACAUAGAAAAUCUCAUGUUAUAAACCUUUAUUUUUUUAUUUUUAUAUUAAAUUUGUUCUCCUAUUUUCUUAUUAGGCUUUCACCUUAUAAAUUAGUUGUGUACACAUUAUUUUUUUUAAAGAAAAUAUAAGAAAAAAAUUAUAAUUAUUGUUUUUAUUAUAGAAAAUAAAAAAAUCAAAUUUAACCAAAUUUAACUAAGAUUCUUGCAAUUUUUUUUGUAAAUUAUUUUAAUUUUGUAUAUGAAAAAUAAAAAAAUAAGUUAAAUAAAUUAAAAAUAACAUAUGAAAUAAUUCAAUGGUUUUAAUCUAUCUUUUGUAUUAUUUUUCGUCUUCUACUUUUUUUUUUCCCCUUCACAUUUUUUGAAACUUAAACAUGAUAAAAAAAAAAAAAAUAGUUUUAGUUUGAGAUUAGAUUAGCUAAAUUCAAAAUUUAAAUUGAUUUUUUUUAAUAGGAAUUUAAUUAUGGCAUAACCAAAAGGAAAAUGUGAUCGUAUCUGGAAUUAAAGAUCAAAAUUGUUAUUUAAUAACAGGUAAACGAUUAAAAAAUUAUCUAAAAACAUCUGAUUGACGCAAUCAACCACGUGGCGACAAAAGAGUUUAGGUGAACAUGCGGCUCUCACGCAAUAUAAUCUUGGCCCGCUUGUGUUUUAGACGCGGGCCGGACUGGCCCAUUUUCAGCCCAUAAUAUUUGGGAUAAGUAGAAUAAAAUCCAAAAAUCAAAGGGAAAACAGCCAGAACCCCAGGUGAGCAAAGACCAGCUAUUCCGUCUAUUUUUUUGUGUCAUCACGCCAUGGAAGCUCUGAGUUCCUCUGCAACAAUCAUAGCUGCUUCAUCGUCAUCUCCAUCGAUUUUCUCCCCAAGGAAAAGAGACUCACCAAGAUUCCUUCGAGUCAACGUUUCUCCAAAAGGUAAGAUCUCACCACAGCAUCUGCCAUCAUUUCUGAUUUCUUUCGUUUUCUUUUCUCUUUUUGUGAAAUUAACAAUAGAAUAUGGUUUUGAAUCAGAUAACGGGAACGAUUCCGAUGUCCGAUCCGAAUCGGAUGAGUCAAGCUUGGUUCCCAUCCUGACGAAUCGUACUCUCUCGAAGGUGAGUUCCUGUUAACGAAAUCCUGUUCAAUUUUUAUUUUUAUAGUAAUUUAGGGUUUAUUUUUUAGGCUUAUUUUUUUUGGAAAUUUUCUUAGGAUGCGGCGAUGGGGUUGGUUCUGAGUGCGGCGUCGGUGAGAGGUUGGACGACGGACUCUGGUAUGGAAGGUCCUUCGGUUCCGGCGGCGGCGGAGGCCCGAUCCAGUACGGAGAGGAUCUCAACCUUCCCGUGGUCCCUCUUUACCAAAUCGCCACGUCGAAGGAUGCGCGUUGCCUUCACUUGCAAUGUUUGCGGUCAGCGGACCACUCGUGCCAUCAAUCCUCAUGCUUACACCGAUGGAACCGUUUUCGUCCAGGUAAUUUUUUCUCCCUGUCCUCUGUUUGGUUGAUGGGAAAAGAUAAUAGAAAAAUAAAAUAAAAUCAAUAUCUUGUUUUAUGUUAUUUGUUUCCAAAUAAUGAAAACAACUUGCCUGAAUAAAGCAUUAUGUAAGGCUCAAUUGAAAGAGGUUUCUGUUUUCUCAGCUGCAAUUAUAGUUUCUUAUUGUGAAUGGCGUGUCCGUGAUUUGCAGUGCUGUGGAUGCAAUGUGUUUCAUAAACUGGUGGACAAUCUGAAUCUUUUUCAUGAGAUGAAGUGCUACGUGAACCCGAGCUUCAAUUACAGUGAUCCAAGAGGGGAUGUGGGCUUCAAGUAUCUUGAUAUGGAUGAUGAUAAUAACAAUGACGUCUUUCCUAUCUUUUGAGGUGAAAGAAUUGCUUAUAUACUUGUACAUUUCCUAUAUCAUACUUAGAAACUGAUUUUAAUUGCAUCUGUAAAUAUAUUGUCACUAUUGGUUUACAUGGGGUGUUCAAUUAAUAAUUCAGAGUUGGAUCCUUUUUAGAUGAUUUGGGUCACCAGGUUCAUUACUUAAUACUUGGUUUAUAUCUGUUUAUAUUGGAAAUAAUGUAAGAACUUUGUCCAGCAUCCAGGUCCCUCCUAAUUUGAUGCACUCCUAUUUGUUGUGCUUUAGUUCUCAUCAUUUACAGAAAGAUCUUGAGGGGUAAGCUAUAUGGAUUAGGAAUUUAACUUUAGGUCAUGGCUAUAUGCAUUGGAGUUUUUAAUCAUUGUCUUUCUUGAAGAUAUAGAAACUAUGUGGAUUCUACUUUUGAAGCUCCUAAAGUUGCAGUUUCUAAUUCUGUGUUGCAGUUGUAGUGGGUUUUUUUCUUUUGUUAGAAAGUUGGUAUUAUUGGUACCCAAUAAACUAUAUAUUAGAUUUAGUUUCAUAGUUGGAAGUGAAAAUGAAAUUUAGAUGGAAAGAUUGAUGACCUGUUAUUGAAUAGUCUAAAGGGAACAAACCAUCUUGUAUAACAACACUUCAUUGGCUGUGCAAGAAGAACCUGUAUUAUGCUUGAUGAAAAUGUAGGGAUAAUGGAAGAGAUGAAACAUGGAAAUUGAGUAAGAUAUAAGGUAAAAAGAAGCGAGAUUGAAUUUAGGGCCUAUAAUGCUCUUUAUCAUGAGAUCUUCAGUAGUUAGAUUCAAGGACCAGUUUCUGUGUGGUUUUGUUCCUUCCAGGCAGUAGUUCAGUUCAUUCAACUUGCUGAAUCAGAAAAUAGGAUAUGUUAUUAAGUAUGAUCAAAACUGAAUGUUCAUGAAUACUUAUUUCUCCAGACAUUCAGCUUAAUCUCUGAAAUGAUUUUAGAAAAUAGUAGCUUAACCAUGAGCAUGGUAUUAUUGAGUUGAAAUAUGCAACAUAUAGCUUAGAAACCUAUUGUUAAGUGUGGCUGUUGGGGAUGUCAUUUAUGUUUGAAUGGUUAAGUUUUCUAUCUUUCUUGAGAUCCUUGACCUCAGAGGUGUAACAUUUAGUGUCCAAUAGUGCAAAAUUAGAGUUUUCUCUUUUACCAAGAGAAAAGAAAAAAAAAAAAAAAAAAAAAAAAAAGAGCAAAAAGGACAAUAAAAAAUCCAAACAGUGUUGGCUUGUCCAAAAAAUGUAUUUGUGUACCUUGCAAAGAAGUCUAAAAUAGGUGCCAUCUCUAGAAUGGGGUUAAUAAAUUUUUAACAUGUACUCACUUGUUAUACUUUCCAUAAUUUUGGGUUGUUUAUCUUGAUUUGCAGGAAAAUACUAAGAUCUAAGGUAAGGUAGGUGCUAAAUAUUUUAUUAAAGCUAAAACUUGUAGUGAUUAUUUAAGCUGACAUUUCAGUACUAAAUGUGUGUUGGAUAAACAUGAAGAUAUCACAUAAGUGGUACAUGGAUUGCCUGUUUAACACAGAUAUACAUAGACAAUUAACUGAGCAAUCUGUUCCAGAUUGAUAUUCCAAGGAUCACGAGGGCCCAUACUAACCCAUAAACAUUUUUUCAUCUUUAGAAAUGUAGAUGUGGGGCAAGUUGCUGCAAGUUUUUUUUGAUAAGUAAGCACAGAAUUCAUUCAAAGAAGGCAAAAAAGCCCCAUAGUAUACAGGACGUAUAUAAGGCAGCUAAGACCUUACAAGCAAAAAAAGACCAAAAACUCACCACCCCUUAACUGGAGGCUAACCACUCCAGGAAUCCUAUAAGGGAAUGCAAGUUGCUGCAAGUUGAUUCAAUUAAGAUGCCAUUUGGCUGAUUCUUUUUCUAGACAGACUCUAUCAACAGUUGGAAGAAGUUGUAUCCCUGGAAAUAAAAAAAGUACUUGGUGGUUUAAGAUUAAACAAUUGAACAUGAUAGAUUAGAGAUGAUUUUUUUGAAAUCAGAUUUUAGUGGUGCCUCUUUUUUUGUUUCCCAUUAAGUCCUACUUGAUGUAAGACAACCCUAGGAUAGUUGUCUACACUCAAAUAGGUGGGCUAGGGUUUUUAUUUUUUAGGAUGUAGGGAGAGAAACAAGGAAUCAAGUUUAUGGUAGAGAAAAAAAAAAAAAACCUUCUAGAAGUUUUACCUAAAAGAAAAUUAAUGGAGUUUCACUAAGGAUUGCAACACUUGUAAUAAAAAAAACAUAAUAUUAUUAACAUCAAUCAAUUCUAAAGUCUACUAGGAUUCUAAUAACUUAUUCAAACUUUGAUUCUAAUUAUCUUAUAACAAUUGACUUUAACAAAUGCUAAUCCUAACUUGACUCCAACAAAUACUAAUCCUAAUUUAAUUUCAUUAAAUACUAAUUUUAAUUUAAUUCCAAGUUAUACUAAUCUAACUCUCUAAUUGCAACUUGCAACUAAUACAAAUUCACUACAGGUGGUACUCAUUUAUCCUUGCUUCAGCCACUAAACAUUGUUGUUGAGAAUAACAUCUGUGUAAUCAUAGCUAGGAGAAAGCUUCAAUUCACUAAUUUUUAUGUUCCUGGUUGUUUUAGUGCCAAUUCUUGGAGUGUACCUACUUUGUCAUGAAAUUCUUGGUUUCAGCCUUCGUUGUUUACAAAUUUCGAUAUGUGAGGGUAGAAAAAAUACAUAAUGGUUCGACCUUUAUUGUGUGAAACAGAUGCAUGUGUAGAAAACAGAAAUUGGGUCUGUGGUGGAGGGCAGGACUUUGAGACGUGUGGUUUAGGUGGUGUAUUGAGAUGAGGGGGUAGGCGUGGUCCUUAUGUCUAAAAUAUCUUCUACAUUUCAUUAGAACUGGCUAGGAAAGCAAUGCAAAGGAAUCUUUUGAACCUCAUAAUCGUUUAAAAAAACUAGGUCUCCGAAAAUGAAUUGUUUGUUUCCUAUUAAAAUAUGAAUUUCAAGUUUUGCUGUUGGAUAUUUAAGAUCAUGCUUAUACUUGGAACGGAGUGUAAUAGAAUAUGGUUAUGGGAAAUCUAUCCCAUUUCUCGUUUUAGUACUUUCUAUGUUUGGAUGAUUUUAAAUUGCAGUCUCAUGAAGAGUUUUUUUCCUGUCAUUUUCAUUUUUAUCGUCACUUUUAUUCCUAACGCACCAAACGCAGCCCCAAGACACCUGGAGUUGUUAGCGACGAAUUUUUAUGAUAAUUUUCGGCUCGGGAAAAAAAAUGUGGCGUGAAUUUGUGUACGAAUAGGGUGAGGAGCUAAAAUGAAAAAUAUUUAUUUCCGCUUGAUGUUGUUACUCUAAUCGGUUUGGCAUUGUCUUGUUUCCCUGUCGUAUCGUUUCAAUUAUAUAUAUAAUAAUAAUGAAAAAUAUUUUUCAUAAAAAAUGAAUUAUAAAAUGUGUAAUAUUUAUUUCAAGGUUUAAGAGUUGGGGGUCGGGUCACCCUCCCACAGCCGGACGAACCCAGUAACCGCCAUCCUUAUGUAUAAACCCAACUCAGUAACCGUACCGGACAGUUCUUUAAUAUGUCUAAUUUUAGUAGAUGAUUCUAACGUUCAGGGAAAGAUCUCGCCCAUUAAGCCUUUAUGUGGUUGACCAGAAGUAACCAAUGAGAUUCUAGCAUUUAAUUGGACUUUCGCACCUUACUCCAUAAUAAUCUCGUCUGUUUCCCACUCCUCCUAUCAGAACUGCAUAAUGAUAUAAACGAACAAAAAUGACAUAAAAGAAGAAAAAACCUUCAUUUAUCUUUGGGAAUUUCCUGAAGUUAUUCUGGUUAAUUGUUUUUGCAAUAUCUCCCAAAUCUAAGUUAAACAAAAAAUAAAAAUAGUAAAAGACAUAACUGGAUGGCUAGGUAUUAGGAAUUAGGAUCAGCAUAAAUUUGUCCAAGGAAUGGCCCGAGAAUCUUGCUCGAAGGCAAAGCAUUUUUCUUCCUACGAUUACCGAGAAACGCGACGCCACUUUUUGUCUCUGUAUUGUAGAAUCAUUGUCUUCGGAUUUUUAAAUCCUUGAUGAUGUUGGAAAUUAUCUCUACUCCAUGGACUGGGGAAUUUCUUAAAGAAAAUAAUACGUGGCUUCACCUCGUGCACUCACCCCUUACUUUAUAAUUCUUUCAUAUCUUCAAGUUUAAUGAGAGAUUAAUAUCCAAUGAUUGUCUGCUUGGCACUUUCAUUAUGAUUUGAUGAAUUUGUCCACUUUUCUGUUUUAUCAUAUUUUCUUUAAUUGUAAUCCAUAGCAAGGAGGCGGAGAGGAAGUAAAAGACUCUUAGUUUCAGCAUUUGGCAUUUUGUAAGAGAGAUAUUUUGUUGUCCCUAUCUAUUUAUUUUUCUAUCCAUUUGGUCCAGUGAUACAGUUAAAUCACAAGAAAGUAUUAAUAAUAAUAAUAAUAAUAAUAAUAAUAAUUCACGAGAAAUCAAAUAUGUUUUUAUUUUGAGUUCAAUAAGAAUGUUAUAAUAUGUUUAGAUAUUUUUAUUAAAAGAAUUUAUAAAUUUAAAAGGAAAAUCUAAUAAGGUAAUGGUAUGUUUUAGCGAUUGAGUUUGAAUAGGUCUGAAAUCAAAAUAAAAUUCUCAAAUUGGAACUUCAAAUUCAAAUAAAAUUAUGGAUUAACUCUAACUUCAGUUUUUCAACUUCUUAAAGGCACAAACAAACAUAUAUCUAACAUCCCCAACUCUAAAUCACACAAUCAGAGUUGCAAAACCAAUCCUCAUUGGAAAAAUUUUCCACCUCCCACAUUCUCAACCUCACAUCAGUACAGCCAUGCCACGUCAGAGGAUAGCAUCCAAUCCAACCAAUAGCAGGCAUCCUCUGCAGAUAACCCAUUUCUCCACCCAUCCCAUCCUCCUUUAUCUCAUACAAAUACAAACCACACAAAUCAAAAAACACCACCUCACCGCAAGUCUUCGCUUUCUAUUAAAUCAUCCCCACACCCUCCUCUUCUUCUGAUUUCUUCCCUUGCAACCAGACACACUCACUCAGAGACAGUUGAAGGAAAUGGCCAUCGUCACCUCCGCCGCAGUCGCCAUCCCCUCAUUCACCGGCCUCAAGGCCUCCGGCGCAACCAUGACCCGCGCUGCCGCCACCGUCAAGACCAUCACCGCACCGGCCCCGAGGCUCGUGGCCAAGGCUGCACUGAAGGACGUGGGAGUGGCCGUCGUCGCCACCGCCGCCAGCGCUUUGCUCGCCAGCAAUGCCAUGGCCAUGGAGGUCUUGCUCGGCAGCAGCGACGGAGGCCUGGUGUUUGUGCCGUCGACCAUCACCGUCCCCGCCGGAGAGAAGAUCACGUUCAAGAACAAUGCUGGCUUCCCUCACAACGUUGUGUUCGACGAGGAUGAAGUUCCGUCCGGCGUCGACGUAUCGAAAAUCUCGAUGUCCGAAGAGGAUCUGUUGAAUGCACCUGGAGAAGUGUACUCUGUGACUUUGACCGAGAAAGGUACCUACAGUUUCUACUGUUCUCCUCACCAGGGUGCUGGUAUGGUGGGAAAGGUGACCGUUAAUUAAGUUAGUUUAUAUGAAUGACGAUGAAUUUGCAAGGAACAUCUCAU
rnacentral:lncRNA from 1 species